rnacentral:rRNA from 1 species
GAUGAACGCUGGCGGCGUGCCUAAUACAUGCAAGUCGAGCGAACAGACGAGGAGCUUGCUCCUCUGACGUUAGCGGCGGAAGGGUGAGUAACACGUGGAUAACCUACCUAUAAGACUGGGAUAACUUCGGGAAACCGGAGCUAAUACCGGAUAAUAUAUUGAACAGCAUGGUUCAAUAGUGAAAGACGGUUUUGCUGUCACUUAUAGAUGGAUCCGCGCCGCAUUAGCUAGUUGGUAAGGUAACGGCUUACCAAGGCGACGAUGCGUAGCCGACCUGAGAGGGUGAUCGGCCACACUGGAACUGAGACACGGUCCAGACUCCUACGGGAGGCAGCAGUAGGGAAUCUUCCGCAAUGGGCGAAAGCCUGACGGAGCAACGCCGCGUGAGUGAUGAAGGUCUUCGGAUCGUAAAACUCUGUUAUUAGGGAAGAACAAAUGUGUAAGUAACUAUGCACGUCUUGACGGUACCUAAUCAGAAAGCCACGGCUAACUACGUG